ACGAGAGACUCGGUGAAAUUAUAGUACCUGUGAAGAUGCAGGUUACCCGCGACAGGACGGAAAGACCCCGUGGAGCUUUACUGUAGCCUGAUAUUGAAUUUUGGUACAGCUUGUACAGGAUAGGUAGGAGCCUGAGAAACCGGAGCGCUAGCUUCGGUGGAGGCGUCGGUGGGAUACUACCCUGGCUGUAUUGAAAUUCUAACCCGCACCCCUUAUCGGGGUGGGAGACAGUGUCAGGUGGGCAGUUUGACUGGGGCGGU
rnacentral:rRNA from 1 species